GUCGUCGUGGCCGAGUGGUUAAGGCGACAGACUAGAAAUUGUUGGGCUCUGCCCGCACAGGUUCGAAUCCUGUCGGCGACG
rfam:Ciona savignyi cont_29977, whole genome shotgun sequence.